rnacentral:rRNA from 1 species
GGGCCCGCACAAGCGGUGGAGCAUGUGGUUUAAUUCGAAGCAACGCGCAGAACCUUACCAACCCUUGACAUCCUGCGAAUCUCUUGGAAACUUGAGAGUGCCUUCGGGAGCGCAGUGACAGGUGGUGCAUGGCUGUCGUCAGCUCGUGUCGUGAGGUGUCAGGUUAAGUCCUAUAACGAGCGCAACCCCUAUCGUUAGUUGCCAUCAAGUAAUGUUGGGUACUCUAGCGAGACUGCCGGUGCAAACCGUGAGGAAGGUGGGGAUGACGUCAAAUCAUCCACGGCCCUUACGUCCUGGGCUACACACGUGCUACAAUGGCCGGUACAGAGAGCAGCCACUACGCGAGUAGGAGCGAAUCUUCAAAGCCGGUCUCAGUUCGGAUCGCAGUCUGCAACUCGACUGCGUGAAGCUGGAAUC